UCUCCCUCUCCCUCUCUGAAAUCAAUAAAAAUGUAUUUAAAAAAAGAUAUAAACCCCAAAAAUGAGACCUAAGGAAAAAUAGCGACACAUUUGGAACAUGAAACGACUGCAGGGUGAAAGACCCUGAGCAAAGUUGAGAGGGGAGGAGACACUUGCAGUACGUAUAUAUGACACAAAAGAUUAAGUUAAUAAAAAACUUCAGCAUAUCAAUUAUUACAUUGAUAAAUAUUCAGAGAUUUAUAAUAGCCACUUUUGGUGAGGAAAAUAGGCCCUCUACCAGAUGGUGAAUGGCUGAACAAAUUGUUUCAUCUUAUUUGGAGGGCAAUUUGGAAGUAAGUAGCAAAAUUUAAAAUGCACAUACUAUCUGAUCUCUCCUAUAAACAACUAUUCAUUUGCCUGAAAUCACAAAUGCCUGAAAUACACAUGAAUGCAAAGAUACUUUAUUUCAUCUAAUCUAAAAUGUAUUGAGACUAAUGCUCUUUUACUAUUACCAGAAGUCAAAAAACGAUUUUUACGCAACGAAUACCUCGUGGCCAACAGCAAUGCUUUCUGCAGCAGCUGGGGUAUGACAGCCUUGUCCCUGAUCUGUAAUUCCAGACAACUCCAGGGUGAACUGGCAGACCAAUCCAAAGCUACUACGUCAGAUAAAGUGAUGCUGUUUGCACAACUCAGUGUCCUCAAGAGAUAUUCAUGUAAUACCCCCGAUUUGUAUUCUGCAUGAAACUCCUUUUACAAGACAUAAACUUCCCAUAGGGAGCAAACGUAGCCAGCUAAAAGAUGCUGAACAUAUGACUGUGUAAUGUAAUUUUAAACUCAGAAGGAAUUGGCUAGGCCUUUUCCAUCUUAGAAGCCGAAAGCUAUAAAAGAACCCACGAUUUCUUUUUUAAGUAUAACAUUCUUAAUUUUGGGAUUCUAAUCGAGCCAUGUUCUAAUUCUAAUCAAGCAAUGCUAGUCAUAUGACAGAUUAAUAUAAAUAUUUGAAUUGUAUAUAUCAUGAGAUUUGAGUACUCAGAUUUAUCACAAAAAACUAAUUGAUUUAUUAUUUGUACCUAAUUGACUUACAUUUGAAGCAGCUAAUUAAAUGAUUUCUGUUGUCACAUUAA